rnacentral:rRNA from 1 species
UACGUAGGGUGCGAGCGUUGUCCGGAAUUAUUGGGCGUAAAGAGCUCGUAGGCGGCUUGUCGCGUCGGAUGUGAAAGCCCGGGGCUUAACUCCGGGUCUGCAUUCGAUACGGGCAGGCUAGAGUUCGGUAGGGGAGAUCGGAAUUCCUGGUGUAGCGGUGAAAUGCGCAGAUAUCAGGAGGAACACCGGUGGCGAAGGCGGGUCUCUGGGCAACAACUGACGCUGAGGAGCGAAAGCGUGGGGAGCGAACAGG